UGCAGAGAGAGAACAGUAAGAAAUAGUUAGGGUUUGUGUGGGUAAGCCUUGAAAGCGAGUCUGUUGAGGGAGGUAGUUGUCACCGCCCCUUUAGGAAGGAAGAGAAUCUCAUUGCCCUCGCCUGGAUUCUCGCCGCCAUCUGGUGAGGAGCAUGAUCCCACGCACCGACAUAAGGUUUCCGCCUCGUGUACACACGGCGGGGAGUGAGCCUGUUCCUGGUCAGUUUUUCCG
rnacentral:misc_RNA from 1 species